UUUGACCCUGGUAUUGAUCAGAGGGUUCCGUUUAUUUCGGAUCCCUGGGCUGAAUUCGAGGGUACUUGCUCAGAUGUUGAUUUGGGUUCAGAUGACUUUGGGUUUUAGAUGAUUUGUGGUUCCAAGUUCAAGCUGAAGCUUUGAUCCUGUGCCGCGAGAUGCUCAGCCGACCAGUCAUGGCUCCAUCAUUUGCAUCAUAGCAUGUUUAUUUUCAAAAAAAA
rnacentral:lncRNA from 1 species